rnacentral:rRNA from 1 species
UUAGGUUAAGCUACUAAGGGCGCACGGAGGAUGCCUAGGCGCCAGGAGCCGAAGAAGGACGCGGCGAACAGCGAAAUUGCCUCGGGGAGCCGUAAGCGGGCUUUGAUCCGGGGAUGUCCGAAUGGGGAAACCCGGCUGGAGUCAUGUCCAGUCACCCAUGAGUGAAUCCAUAGCUCAUGAGGAGGCACACCAGGGGAACUGAAACAUCUAAGUACCC